rnacentral:rRNA from 1 species
GACGAACGCUGGCGGCGUGCCUAAUACAUGCAAGUAGAACGCUGAGGAGAGGAGCUUGCUCUUCUUGGGUGAGUGGCGAACGGGUGAGUAACGCGUAGGUAACCUGCCUUGUAGCGGGGGAUAACUAUUGGAAACGAUAGCUAAUACCGCAUAACAUAUGGAGACACAUGUUAUUUAUUUGAAAGGGGCAAUUGCUCCACCACAUGAAGGACCUGCGUUGUCUUUGCUAGUAUGGGAGGUAAUGGCCCACCUAGGCGACGAUACAUAACCGGCCUGGGGGGGGGAUCGGGCCCCCUGGGAAUGAGACACGGCCCCGACUCCUACGGGAGGCAGCAGGAGGGAAACUUCGGCAAAGGGGGCAACGCUGACCGGGGAACGCCGCGGGGGUGGAGAAGGUUUUCCGGACGGAAAGCUUUUGUGAAAGGCAAGGAAGGGAUUUAUAGGUGACUGUGCACACUGUGACGGUAGCUUACCAGAAAGAGACGGCUAACUACGUG